rnacentral:lncRNA from 1 species
GAAAUAGCAUUUAUAUAAAGAAUUUCCAGCAGACCAGUAGAACUCAGACCUCCUGGGAAGGCUCAUGCCAAGUACAGCUGACCACCCCAAUUGCAAUCAAGACUGAAGAAACAGACUCUUGGAUAUAUUGUGCCCAGAUUCUGGGUUUGCAAGACCAAGGACUGAUAUAGGACCAGUCACUUCUGCAGCAGUUACCCUCGGUCAUUCUUAUGGAAGACAAAUUGCCCAGGUGGUACACGAAAAUGAAAUGGGAUAUUACAUCUCUCUAGAACAGCCGUGUCCAUUAAGAUGAAAAAAUACUGGUUUUACUCUUGGAGAUUACUUUGCCCCUUAAACAUGAUUAUUGUUAUUACUGAGAUUUAGGCCUUAGGCCAUUGGGGAAAACAUCUG